rnacentral:rRNA from 1 species
GAUAAGGGGGGGGGGUGAGCCGGGGUAAGACGUGGGGCGUGGGCGGGUGUCGGAAGCGUUGGGCGUAAGGAGCGCGUAGGUGGCUGGUCGAGUCGGUCGUGAAAGCCUGUGGCUGAACCAUGGGGCUGCGGUGGAUACGGGCCGGCUGGAGGCAGGUAGGGGCAAGCGGAAUUCCUGGUGUAGCGGUGAAAUGCGCAGAUAUCAGGAGGAACACCGGUGGCGAAGGCGGCUUGCUGGGCCUGGCCUGACGCUGAGGAGCGAGAGCGUGGGGAGCGAACAGGAUUAGAUACCCUGGUAGUC